rnacentral:rRNA from 1 species
UACGUAGGGUGCAAGCGUUAAUCGGAAUUACUGGGCGUAAAGCGUGCGCAGGCGGUUAUAUAAGACAGAUGUGAAAUCCCCGGGCUCAACCUGGGAACUGCAUUUGUGACUGUAUGGCUAGAGUACGGCAGAGGGGGAUGGAAUUCCGCGUGUAGCAGUGAAAUGCGUAGAUAUGCGGAGGAACACCGAUGGCGAAGGCAAUCCCCUGGGCCUGUACUGACGCUCAUGCACGAAAGCGUGGGGAGCAAACAGGAUUAGAUACCCUGGUAGUCCACGCCCUAAACGAUGUCAACUGGUUGUUGGGUCUUCACUGACUCAGUAACGAAGCUAACGCGUGAAGUUGACCGCCUGGGGAGUACGGCCGCAAGGUUGAA